rnacentral:rRNA from 1 species
UACGGGGGGAGCAAGCGUUGUUCGGAUUUACUGGGCGUAAAGGGCGCGUAGGCGGCCUUCUAAGUCGAACGUGAAAUCCCCGGGCUCAACCCGGGAACUGCGUCCGAUACUGGAAGGCUUGAAUCCGGGAGAGGGAUGCGGAAUUCCAGGUGUAGCGGUGGAAAUGCGUAGAUAUCUGGAGGAACACCGGUGGCGAAGGACGGCAUCCUGGACCGGCAUUGACGCUGAGGCGCGAAAGCCAGGGGAGCAA